CUCGCGCUGGACAGCCUCCUCUGUAAGGUGGGAGGGCAUCCGUGCCACCGCCCCGGGCAAGGGCUCGUCCCCAAGACCACCCAGAGCCCCUGGGAGGGAUGAGGGUACCUCUGGCGGCUCAGGGUGGCCGGGCCCAGGCAGGUGGAAGGUUGCAGAGAGGGCACCGCCUGUCCUCCGCCCCCCGGCCGGGCCCUCCCGGCCUCCGCGCAGCCAGGCGGCUGCACUUCCAGAGUGGACAUUCCUCCUUCCUGCCCCCGGCUGCCGGCUGCCUUUGUCUUCCUGGGGCUGCACAAAAUGGCCGCCGCAGCCCUCCGCCAUUUUGUGUGAGGCCGGCGGGCAGGCGGCCCGGCGGGGGAGGAGGGAGGGAGACCACUGUCCGCCCGCUGCCCCGAGUGGCCUGGACGGAGCCCAGCAGCAGCCCCCGCCCCAGCUCGGCCUUGGCCGCGGCUGCCCUGGGCUUGGCACCAGCGCACGUCUUGGCAAGGCCGUCCGGGAACCCCGGCCCUUCACCCAGCCCGGCCGGCCCCCUCGCCGCCCCCCAGCCUUCCCUGACGAGCAGACGGAGAUGCUGCGAAGCCGAGCCCAGAAGAGCUGUAAUUAAAGCCAUGCUCCUGGAGGGAGUCCUCGGCAUCCCCGGGGCCGGCACGGACAGUUCUAGAAAUGACUCUCGCCUGAGCGGGAGGGGGGGAGGGGGUGGGCUGCCCAGACUCGCUACUACGGGGCCGGGUCUUUUCUAGGCCACGCGGGGGACAGGAGCGGCGCACUCAGUCCUCCGCUCGACUGCCCGCGCCCUCACCUGCCCAAGGAGCCUCUGGGCUCCCUGGUGGUCAGUCAGGUUUCUGGUCUGGACACAGGUCCUGCCCGUCUUCAGGAAACGGGCAGGGGGCUUCCUGGAGGAGGUGGGCUUGUGCCGCUCUACAGCUCGGCUUCCCCCGGGGCCUGAGCCAGCUAAGGUUCUUCAUUGCAGGAAGCUGGGGGUGGGCCCAUUCCAGCCCAGCCCACUGCCCUGCAUGGUCCCAUCUCCUGAGGGACCUACAUCCCCUAGGCCGUGGCUACCCCGAAGAGCACCGUCCCAGAACUGGGAGCCACCGGGCGUCGGGGGCCUCCAUCUGUGCCUCCUGCUCUUGUUCUGUGCACAGUGUGGACAGGCUUGCAGCUCUGACCGUGCCCAGCUGGGUGCAGGUAGCAUGGCACUGGGGGACACACUCAUGCAAACAGCAGGCUGCCCGGCACGUGGGAACUCCUGGCCACAGGGACCGGGGAGCCACAUAGAGAAGACUCCGUUGUCUCGGGAGCCAGCACCGGGCCAUUCGCUGUGGGCCACCGUGCCCUGUUGGCCCCGGCAGCGUGCCUCUGGGAGUGGCCAGCACGCCAGCCCUCCGCGCCUGCCGUCAGGGCCCAGCGAUGCGGUCCUCAGAGGGCAGCGAACCUCCUAGAGGCGCGUCCAAGGAAAGACCUGGUGCAGAAGCCGGGAGUGGGGUCUGAGGAGUGUGCCUGUUCAAGGCCUGCUGCCGUCUCUCAGGCCAGGCAGUGUGGAGUUGUGCCGGGCAGACCUGGGGGCACGGCCUGAUCUGUGUUCUCGGCCCAGCUGAGGGUCAGUCCCGCACUGUCAAGAGACAGACACCCAGGGGGAGAGCGUGUGGAACAGGGUGGGGAGCUGCUGAGGCCUUCCCCAGACACCUGUGGCCCUGCCAAGCCCUUCAGGCUAGGAGGGUUGCUGGCUGCUGCUCCAGGCCCUUCCCAGACGUUCUCUUCUUGUGGUUCCCAGAGAGAACAUUCCGUCACCGUAAAGUGAAGUUUACUCAUGCCCUGGAUCCCUCUGGGGAAAUCCUGUGGGACAGGAUGGUGGCCACGCGCCAGGCCAGACCCAGCACCUCUUAGGGGAAAACAGAGUCCCACGGAGAAAGACCGUCUUGAAGGGGACCGGGCCAGCCAGGGCUGCUGCGGGGUGGGCUUUCGUGCUGGGCAUUUUUAAUGAUAGGUAUGCAUCCGGUCCCCUCCCUUAACACUGCUCUUCGCCAUGUGACCCAGAUUGUAGCUUGAGCCAAGAACAUUGUAGAUAAACGCGUACCUUUGAGGUUAACGCUGUUGGCUCCUAAAGAGCACCGCACAGACACACCCGCAGGAGCAGAGAGCCCUGCAUCUGGCUUCUCCCUUUGGAGUCCAAGCAAACGCUGCAGGGGUGAAGCACCGCUCUCCCCACUGACAUCCUCUCCCUGGGCACAGAGCCCGCUGACCUUGCUCCUGACCACCCAGCAUCCUUGCCGCGAGGCCAGGGGUGCUCACUUGCCCGAGGCUCAUUUCUGCUUAGAGCCAGAGCAGGGUCAGAACCAGGACCAGGGGGACUUCAGAGCCAGCUGUCUCCCCUUCCCCAUGCCCGUGCCCCCAUGGCUGCAGCCCGCUAGCCACCCCAGCCAGCCCCUGCCCCCUGGCUUCCCAAGGGCGGCCAGGGGUCACUUUCGUGGGCCUCGCAGCUCCGCAUCUGUGGCAUUACCAUUCCAGCCUCUGCUGUGGCCGUGCCGCCCACACCGUGCUGGCAUGGAGGUCUCUGGGCACAGGAGGGCAGGGAGCUGGAGCAGGACACAGGCUUUCAAGUGCCCAUCAUGGGUGCGGGGGCAGAAGCUGGUCAGGGAGGGUGCGGACAAGAGGAUCACUGGAGCCCGGAGACAGGAGGAGGGCUGGGGUCUGUCCAGACCCACGGGGCUGGAGCGGGGGCUCCUGGCUGGGAGUGGCUUGUACCGCCCAGAGGGACAUGGGGCUGUGGGAAGAGCCGAGCAUCACGGAACUUGGGAUUCCAGAUCCAGUUUUGCUGUUCUGUCCCCAGGGCAUGCUGUUGGGGGUGGUGAGGCCCCUGGUCCAUGUCCUCCCUGGGCCGCUGGAGCCCGAGGCAAAAGAAGUCAGUAACCCUGUCCGUUCUGUCUGUAGGAGGAAUAUUUUUAUGUCAUGGACAUUUUUACAUUCGUUUUUAAGAAUUUUACUUUAAAAUAUUUGUCUGGAUUGCUGAGUGUUGGUGCUCCAGAAAUGGUCUGGCUGGCCUCCCUGCUUCCCGGCCAUGCCAGGCCCCUGGUGGGCACACGGCCCCCUGCCCCUGGCCCAGGUCAAUCAAACUGCCAUGUCCUUAACUCGAUGGGCCGUGUUUGUAAGGAGACCCACCCCCGCCAGGGCCCCCGGAUGCCACCCCCACGUCUUUUUCCCAGACUCCAUUGUUGGCACGGCUUGCCGAGCAGAAACACUGGUCGCUUUAUGGGGAGAAACCUAAUCGGGGCAGCAGUGCGGGGGUGGGGGCGGCCGUGGGGGGGGUGGUUCCUGGCUCUCUGUGGCCCCGAGCCAAGCCUGAGGUGACUGCGGGGUGACACCGUCUGUCUGCCUCACUCGCUCCAGACAUCCGCCCAGCCCUGAAAGGGCCACCUGCCCACGAAGGCCGCCCACACACCUGUCCCUGGCUGGCCUGGCCCCUCCCACCCGGCACUGCCCAGCACCCUGCCCACAGGCAGACACCGUGGGACCGGGUGGGCCGGUGCCAGCAGCUGGUGGCUGGUGGGGUGACCCCCGAUUGCUCAGUGCCCCUGGCAGCCCAGCUCAGGGAGCCCCUUUCAGGUGCAUCACCUGUGCCCUGCUGCCAGGCCUCACCUGGGCUGAGUGGGAAGGGUCCCUCUGGUCUGUCUCAGGAAUCCUGCCGUACCCCCGCGCUGAGGCCCAUGGUGACCCCCGGAACUGUGGGGCAGGGAGGCCCGGCAAGUCUUCCCUUCCACCUCAGACACGCCAACCUGGGGCCUCUGCCCCAUCAGCUCAGAAGUGUCUCCACAAAUGGGUCACAGACCCAGAAAUGUACAUCCUGACCCCCACCCAAAAACCUGGGUUCUUGGCUUAAAGAAAAAAAGGCGUUUUGUUUGAGCCCCCUGUUGGGAUGGGCAAAGCCAGAGUGGGGACCCCACUGGGGGUCACUAUCCUUGCUUCCCGGUCACCUAGAGACACUGGAAGCAGACUUCAUGUCUGCAGUGAACCCGCCCGGGCUCUCGGGAGGGAGGAAUGCUGCCAGGGCCGCUGGGCACCACUCCCCACCGCCACGCCACCUGCCGCGGGGCAGGCUCUUCCGUACAGGAGGCCUUGGGGCCCCUGAGAGGACGGCGGGCCCCAGAGCUGGGGCAGAGCUGGGAUUCCCCGGGGGGGCCCCAGAGAGGCUCACGCAGACCGCAGAGGGCCCUCGUGGGCACGCAGCUAGAACAAUCGGGGGCAGGCGCCCUGGCAAAGGACAGAGACAGGUGGGCCAGACAGAGUCAGCCGCGGCCUGCCCUGGCUAUUCUUCUGCUCCAGGAGGCGGGCGUAGGGGAGCCAGGGCUGGGCAGGGACUCGGUGGGAAGAAGCAGAGGUGCGGGCUGGGGGCGGGUCUGGCUCCCGGCGUAACACCUCGGGCUCAGCUUCUGGCCCUCCGGGAGGUCAGCGGUCCGGCCGUGGGCUUGCCUCCUAUCUGUGUCCCUUCCUUGGCGGACAGGUGCGGCUGGCUGUCCUUCUGCCAGUCCUAGGUGCUCAUCCAGCCACAAUGGGCCACAGCCAGGUGGGGUGGCCGGCCUCCCGCAAGCCCUGGCAAAGGCCUCGGGGCGGGUCUUGGGAGCCCUUUCCUCCGGAUUUCUGCUCUCCGGAGAACCCCAGGCCUCGCCAUGGGACAGGAGCCUCAGCCUGGCUGGAGCCUCCUCUGUAAAGUGGGGACCUCAGCUCCUCUCUCUUGGGUCCCACCAACUCCAGGCCCCAGGAUGUCCUCAUGACCUUGGCGUAGUACUCCCUGCCCAGCCUGGAAACAUCAGUAAACCAUGACCAUUCAGAGACGAGGCCCGGGCCUCUGUCGUCUUUGACGCAGAACUGUCCAGCUCCAGGCGGUCACAGAGGUCCCUCUCCUGGCCCUGGCGGGGAGUGCCUCCCUGGCCAGAGGCUGGUCAGGAAUGGGGGAGGUGUGGGCUGGCAGGUGCGUCCCUGAGGGGCGGAGGCCCACAGCAGCUGGCCGAAGUCCGGCUUGGCUGCGUCUCCCCAAACCUGACGCUUACUACUUUCUCCCUAAAUCCCGCACAGGUCAAGAAACGGUGCCGAUCUGGGGGCUUCUGUCUGUGGCCGGCCUUUCUCGCAGUCCUGUCAUCAGGGGGAUCUGGUGGUCCUACCGCCAAACCUUUGCCCAAGGAGCACCCUCCACCCACAGCCACGCCUCUCUGCCCCUGCCUCUCUCCUGGGACCUUGUCACCUUUGAUGGUUCUCUGUGGCCUCCCCCCACCACGACUGGACACGGCCUGAAGGAGCCGUGGUCUAUUACAGAGAGUUUGGACAGAAGAGGACUAUUCAGCCCCAUCCCCGCUCGGCACCGUGAGGACUCGUCUGUCUCUGGGGUGCACCACCCGGUGCAUCUGCUCCCCUCGGCCUCACCUUGUCUUGAGGGCCCUGAUCCUGGAGGUAGCCCCUUCUCUCUGCCUGGCCGUGAACCAGCCCUCGCGUGCAGUCCUAACGCACCCAGGCCACCUGUCACCCCCCGAGACGCUGUGCGGUGAGUCUAGCAGGAACAGGAACAAAGGGCAAGAGAAGGAAACCCCGUCUCGUGUGCAGGCCGGGCUGGAGGCGGUGGGCAGGGGUGCUUGUGGCGACGGCCAGGGUGGAUCAGGAUGUGUGUCUCUUCUUGUCUCCCUCACUCGCCCCAGCCCGGGGGCCCCAGCGCAUGGGCUGGCCCGGCGUGCAGUCCGUGUCUUCCGGCCGGGGCUCUCCUGGUUCUCGCUGCGAGCCCUAGAGCUUAAGCCCGGGCCUGGGGGAGGGCAGGCGUGUGCAGACCGCGGGACAGGAGGUGUCGGAGUCUGCGUCGUGGCACACUUGGAUUCCGGCUCUGGCUAAGGGUGGCCCGGUGCUACCCAGACACCCCGAGAGGCAGCUCCUGUACCGGCCCCGCAUCCCAGUGGGGAAAUCGAAGCCCACGAGGUUGUAAGAUGUGCCCAGAGAUGCACGGGGAGGAGGCCAGCCUGGUCUUGCCGCUGGCUCCACCCACCAGGCUCCCCCACCUCUGACCACCUGCGGGGGCAGCGGUCAGAACUGGGGGGUCUCUGCCGCCUGCAGGCAUCAGGGUCUCAGUGGCUGAGUCUGAAGACCAGAGUCCUCUGGGACACCCAGCAGGGAGCCCUGGGCUGGGGGCCAGGUCCUCGGCCUCUUUUGUCCCCAGGAAUGUGAGGCUCAUGGCAGCCAGUCACCCCACAGGGCACUUGGGGGGGCUUUAGGACGCCCAGAGCUCAUUCAGGACUGGCAGAUGCCCCUGCUUUGGGGGCUGGGCCCGAGACCUCCCUCUGCGGGACCAGGCGAGGCCAAACCCAGCAGAGCCCAAGAGAAACCCUCUGCCCUGACAAGGGGCCAGGGACCCCACAGCCCACCCAUCUCCGCCUCUCCUUGCUGCAAAGCGGGAUUGCCAGCUUCAGCGGGCCUGUGAGGACUGCAUGGUGCAGCCCAGCCUGGGGCCUGCCGAGAGGAGGCAGCCUGCUUGGGGGUGGGUACAAGGUGGUCUGGCGGCUGGAGAGCUCAGGGAGCUCAGACCAUUUCACCAGGCAGAAUGUUCUAACCUUCUUCCUGCCACCUGCCUGCUGUGCGACCCUGGGAGAGCGAGGUCACCUCUCUGGGCCGCUGUGCUCACCCCUAAGGCAGGUUGGCAGUAGCACUCGCCUCACCAGCUUUCCCUCAGGGGCCCCUAGGAAGGUGGUGGCCCUGCUGGCCAUGGUGACGCUAACCCAGGCUGACUGUGCUCUUGGGCACCGAGUGCAGAGCCCUGCGGGGUCUCCAGCCCUGCCCCAGCCGCCUUCCCCAGGGAGCCAGCUUCCUGGUCUGAAGGAAAGAACAGCAUCCUGGGGCGGGGGGUCUCCCGACGUGGGGACAGCUCUGGCCACCCUGUAUGGCAGGAUGGCCUUCCUCCCAGUGUCACCAGUGCAGGAGAUGGUCCUUGGGAACAUUAUGGCCACUCCUGUCCAGACGGGGGUGAUCCGUCACCGUAACAGCCCCGAAAGCACACCGCGACACCUGUCCCUGUCCCCACCCCUCCGUCUCUCUCCUCACACUCUCUUUCCCGUGGUUUGGUGGCUUUCUUAUGUGUGGCACCCCCUGCAUAGCUGGUGUGGGGAGUCCACCGGCUGGACUCCCUGAGCACCCAGCCGGCCUGACCCCCAGCCCCGGUCCCCCCAGUGCUCCAGCCCCACUCCAGGAGGUGCCUCUGGAAACCAGGGAGUCUGUCCCUGCGCCACGACUGACGGCCCUUUGGGGUGAGGUAGUAGGUUGUAUAGUUUGGGGCCCUGCCCUACUAUGCGUAACUAUACGAUCUACUGUCUUUCCUGAAGUGGUUGUAAUAUCACCGAUGGACAGCGCCCAGGACCCUGGCCACGGAGGGGACAGGUGCAGGCGGGGCGUGGGCAGUGGGACCCUGUCCAGGGAGGGGACAGGAGAAGGUGGAGUAUGGGCAGCAGGACCCUGGCCGGGGAGGGGACAGGUGCAGGCGGGGCGUGGGCAGCAGCCUUGAGGGGGAGGGGACAGGCUGCCGUGCAGUAGGUCUGGCAGAUCGAUCCUCCACUUGCUCUGUGACCUUGGGCGGGUCUUUUGAUCUCUCUGGGCUUCAUUUUCCUUAUCUGUGAAAUGGGGACAAGUGAGGAUUGAAGACGAAACCGUGAAGUGUCCAGAGCAGGGGAAGCAGGGGAGGGCUCAAAGUUGACCCUUCCGUCGCUCCCCUGAGAGCGGGGGGCCCGUGGGGUAGUUUUUGCCGCCUGCCUCUCUUCCCCGCCCCCCCACCCCCCACAUCUGGACUCUGUCCGCGGCUCCUUCCCUGUGGCCGGCAGUGGGCACCUGGGGGAGCAGCUGUGGACCCAGAGGACGAGACUGGGGUUGCAGGGCAUGCCCUCAGGGAGCCCCCCAGGGAACCCCAGCACACCCCCCGGCGCCCUCAGCAGCCUGCCCAGCUCAGCAUCCGGCCUCUGGUCAGUGACGGCUCCUCCACUGGCGAGGGGUGCUGAGGCCACCCCAUCGCUCACCACUCACUAUUCCAGGCAGGAAGUGGGGGGUUUCUGUGAGCGCCAUGUGGCCCCUCAGGGACACCAGCUCCCUCCACCGCACCCACGACGACCUGCAGGUGGACGGUGUGGGCUGCACUGUCUGUGCCUUCUGGAUUGUCCCUCCUGCCCCGCGCCUGCCCAGCCCUCCAGCUCGGCUCUGGUGGCCACCGACCACCAGGCAGGGGCUGGGGGUGGGGCAGUGGCGGGCCCACGGGCCCUCCCGCAUUCCCAGGGCGCCGGCGGGGUGAGGUAGUAGGUUGUGUGGUUUCAGGGCAGUGAUGUUGCCCCCUCAGAAGAUAACUAUACAACCUACUGCCUUCCCUGAGGAGCCCAGCGGCACCUAUGCGCGGGAGGGCCCGCCGCCAGCCCCAGCAGGUGACUCGGGGACCGCGAGCCCCAGGCCAGGGAGUGGGAGCCUGUGGCAUGCAGUCCUUGACAUCAAUAAAAGCCGUUCUGACAUG